UCAUCUCAGAAGUCAAAUAACACUCAAAGACCUGGAGAGUAACUUUGGGAAAGUGUUACUACCAAAGGUAACUGUUUGUGUGCUUUGGAAUGUUUCAGAGCUAAGGAGAGACUUGAUAAAGCCAAUGUUAAACUCCUCUGGAUGCGCCUUAAAAGGCAAUCGUCAGUCACAAGCAGCACUGUCAGUGGAGAUCUGGCUGCAACUCCAGUUCUGCAUUCAACUGCACUGGGACAUCUUGGCAAGCGUUCAGGACUGGACAGUAGUCUGAGUGCUGGAGACAGCUUCCAAUGGCAACGUGAGAAGUACUUGUCAUCAAGAAGGAGGCUUGCAGCCUCUGUGGCCAAGGUACAGCAGGAACAGGAGGAAAAACUCUCAGAGGAAAUGGAAAAAGGUAAUGUCUCAUCACAUUGGGAGUGUUUUAAAGGAAAAAGGUGACUGUUUCUAUGUCUUGACAGCUUUCAAGCCAUUACUUCCAACUUCCUCUGCUAAGCACAGAGAUGUUUUUCUGCUAGCUCUCCAUUUUAGACUUGAAUUUGAAAAGUUCCUGCUUCCCAAAAUACUGCAUAGAAUGUUAUGCACUUGCCUAGGAAAAAACAAAUAGAAAAUUCAUGCACUGGCUCAAACAGAAACACUUGGUUGAAGAUGAAGUUGCCCUUCACUAGAGUUAAUUUCCAGCAAAAACAUCAAAGAAGCCCCCAGAUUUUUAUAGAUCUUUAUAGAUUUCAGCCAUCCCUUCCUUCCCUGUACAUGGAUUGCAUUCAGUACUAACCCAUACCAUACAUGUUCUUUGCUGUUAGAUUUUUACUUUUCUUGCUACGAUUGUAUGAUUUUUCUUGCUUGUCUUUGUAGCCUAGAUGUUGGCAGUCUUGUUUUGAAUAUGUCAGAAGCACACGAUCAGGGACAAAAGACAACAUUUCCUCAGGAGGAGAUUGCUCAGUAGUGUUUAGGCAAACAUGAGUUCAUUACUUUCAACAUGGGGCACAAAACACCCUCUACAAUUUGAGGCCAGGCAUCCAAGGAGGAAAUCCACCUGCUUCGUGAUAGCUGUUCCUCCAGAGUCACUGCUUUGCAGGGACUGCUCUACAGCUCUGUAGCUGUAGUGUUCCAAUAAAGCACAGCUUUGAACGUUUAAGGAAAGCAAAUACUCGAGGCUGAAGAGCUCUGCAGGAGCUGUGCUAACAAGCCCUGCUAAGGGCCACUGGAGUCGUGUGGAGUCCCAGAAGAUGUUCGCUGUGUAGCCUCCAGAACGUCUGUCGCUAGCUUUACAAAUGCUGCUGACUGAUAAGCAAAUGUGCACAAAAUGUGUUUCUUCCUUUUGCCCAGCUCUUCCCUUGUUAGAUGUCCUUGGAAUUUUUGAAGCCUCAUUCAGGUUAGAGACCUGAAUGAAUGACCUCAAGUCAUGUAAAAUGUUCUUACAAUGCUUUAUUUCUUCCUGUAUGCUGUAAAAGUAACAUAAGGAAUGUUGUCUCUUUUCCCCACAGCCACUGCUGAACUUGAAAUUGGAUUUGCUCGAUUUUCAAAGAAGUUUCAUUUGCCCCAGGAUCCCCUUUGCAGAGCAAAAGAGAAGUACCAUGAUGCUUUAACCAAAAACUAAAAAUUUUGAAUGAAAUGCUGUGGACAAUUUUUAUUUU
rnacentral:lncRNA from 12 species